rnacentral:rRNA from 1 species
CGGAAGGAACCAGCUACUAGAUGGUUCGAUUAGUCUUUCGCCCCUAUACCCAAGUCUGACGAUCGAUUUGCACGUCAGAACCGCUACGAACCUCCACCAGAGUUUCCUCUGGCUUCGCUCUGCUCAGGCAUAGUUCACCAUCUUUCGGGUCCCAACGUAUGCACUCUAUCUCCGCCCUACCGACGCGCGGUCGGGACGGGACGGUACUGCGCCCGAGGAUUUUUCGCCCUGCGGGAUCGUACCUAAGCCGUCCGAAACGACUUUUACUUUUAUUGCGCUUAUGGGUUUUCCGCCCAUUAGCUCGCGCUUACGUUAGACUCCUUGGUCCGUGUUUCAAGACGGGUC